rnacentral:rRNA from 1 species
UACGGGGGGGGCAAGCGUUGUUCGGAAUUACUGGGCGUAAAGAGCUCGUAGGCGGCUUGGCAAGUCGGGUGUGAAAACUUCAGGCUCAACCUGGAGAUGGCACUCGAUACUGCCAUGGCUAGAGUCCGGUAGGGGACCACGGAAUUCCUGGUGUAGCGGUGAAAUGCGCAGAUAUCAGGAGGAACACCGGUGGCGAAGGCGGUGGUCUGGGCCGGCACUGACGCUGAGGUGCGAAAGCGUGGGGAGCAAACAGG